CUUUGCUUCAACAACACUUAUCCUAAAAUUUGGAACAAUACAGAUAAGAUUAGCUUGGCCAUUGUACAAGGAUUUCACAGAAAUUUGUGUAGCAUUCCAUAUUUUA